AAGGGCACCACAAGAACGCGUGGAGCAUGUGGCUUAAUUUGACUCAACGCGGGAAAUCUUACCGGGUCCGGACACACUGAGGAUUGACAGGUGUUUUGCAAUAACAUAAUACAAUGAAAAUUUAUUUUCGUUUGUUUUAUCUAUUGCUAUUAAAUAUGCUAGUCCUUUCAUGAUUGUGUGAUAGGUGGUGCAUGGCCGUUCUUAGUUCGUGGAGUGAUCUGUCUGCUUAAUUGCGUUUCAUAAUUGGACUUUACAGUAAUGUUAUCGCGUAAAAAGCUUUAUGGCGAGUUACAUUGGCUAUUGAUAUUUUUUUUUUUUUUACUUCAGCUUGUCUGAGUAAUUAAAUUUUCAAUUAGUCCGUUUCUCUGUCCAAAUGUUUCUUUUUUGUGAUAACAUGUUAAAGUCCUGAAGGCAACGAACGUGACCG
rnacentral:rRNA from 1 species